CAGCAGCCACGGGAAUACGUAGGGUGCAAGCGUUAAUCGGAAUUACUGGGCGUAAAGCGUGCGCAGGCGGUUAUAUAAGUCAGAUGUGAAAUCCCCGGGCUCAACCUGGGAACUGCAUUUGAGACUGUAUGGCUAGAGUGUGUCAGAGGGGGGUAGAAUUCCACGUGUAGCAGUGAAAUGCGUAGAUAUGUGGAGGAAUACCGAUGGCGAAGGCAGCCCCCUGGGAUAACACUGACGCUCAUGCACGAAAGCGUGGGAGCAAACAGGAUUAGAUACCCCUGUAGUCCCUGUCUCUUAUACA
rnacentral:rRNA from 1 species